AUUGAACGCUGGCGGCGGGCUUAACACAUGCAAGUCGAGCGGAGAGAGGUAGCUUGCUACUGAUCUUAGCGGCGGACGGGUGAGUAAUGCUUAGGAAUCUGCCUAUUAGUGGGGGACAACAUUUCGAAAGGAAUGCUAAUACCGCAUACGUCCUACGGGAGAAAGCAGGGGAUCUUCGGACCUUGCGCUAAUAGAUGAGCCUAAGUCGGAUUAGCUAGUUGGUGGGGUAAAGGCCUACCAAGGCGACGAUCUGUAGCGGGUCUGAGAGGAUGAUCCGCCACGCUGGGACUGAGACACGGCCCAGACUCCUACGGGAGGCAGCAGUGGGGAAUAUUGGACAAUGGGCGCAAGCCUGAUCCAGCCAUGCCGCGUGUGGGAAGAAGGCCUUAUGGUUGUAAAGCACUUUAAGCGAGGAGGAGGCUACUUUAGUUAAUACCUAGAGAUAGUGGACGUUACUCGCAGAAUAAGCACCGGCUAACUCUGUGCCAGCCGCCGCAGUAG
rnacentral:rRNA from 1 species